rnacentral:rRNA from 1 species
ACCGGCGCACGGGUGCGUAACGCGUAUGCAAUCUACCUUUCACAGAGGGAUAGCCCAGAGUAAAUUUGGAUUAAUACCUCAUAGUAUUAUAGAGUGGCAUCACUUUAUAAUUAAAGUCACAACGGUGAAAGAUGAGCAUGCGUCCCAUUAGCUAGUUGGUAAGGUAACGGCUUACCAAGGCGACGAUGGGUAGGGGUCCUGAGAGGGAGAUCCCCCACACUGGUACUGAGACACGGACCAGACUCCUACGGGAGGCAGCAGUGAGGAAUAUUGGACAAUGGGCGCAAGCCUGAUCCAGCCAUGCCGCGUGCAGGAUGACGGUCCUAUGGAUUGUAAACUGCUUUUGCACAGGAAGAAACAACAUUACGUGUAAUGUCUUGACGGUACUGUGAGAAUAAGGAUCGGCUAACUCCGUGCCAGCAGCCGCGGUAAUACGGAGGAUCCAAGCGUUAUCCGGAAUCAUUGGGUUUAAAGGGUCCGUAGGCGGUCAGAUAAGUCAGUGGUGAAAGCCCAUCGCUCAACGGUGGAACGGCCAUUGAUACUGUCUGACUUGAAUUAUUAGGAAGUAACUAGAAUAUGUAGUGUAGCGGUGAAAUGCUUAGAGAUUACAUGGAAUACCAAUUGCGAAGGCAGGUUACUACUAAUGGAUUGACGCUGAUGGACGAAAGCGUGGGUAGCGAACAGGAUUAGAUACCCUGGUAGUCCACGCCGUAAACGAUGGAUACUAGCUGUUGGAAGCAAUUUCAGUGGCUAAGCGAAAGUGAUAAGUAUCCCACCUGGGGAGUACGUUCGCAAGAAUGAAACUCAAAGGAAUUGACGGGGGCCCGCACAAGCGGUGGAGCAUGUGGUUUAAUUCGAUGAUACGCGAGGAACCUUACCAAGGCUUAAAUGUAGAUUGACCGGUUUGGAAACAGACUUUUCGCAAGACAAUUUACAAGGUGCUGCAUGGUUGUCGUCAGCUCGUGCCGUGAGGUGUCAGGUUAAGUCCUAUAACGAGCGCAACCCCUGUUGUUAGUUGCCAGCGAGUCAUGUCGGGAACUCUAACGAGACUGCCAGUGCAAACUGAGAGGAAGGUGGGGAUG